CUAAAAGCAUGACGUGCUCUCUUCAGAUUAUAAUAAGGUUGUCCGUGCCCUGCAGCUCUCCUGCCUGUCUGUCGCGUCCUCCCUAGGGUCAAACUUCAGCAACUGAAAAACGGCGCGUCCGCAAGCCCGGCGGAGCUCUGGGCCGAUGUGCCGACAGGCGUGAGACCGUUCGAAAGCCUUGCCCAGACCCUGCUGCGGGCUGGGGUGUCCCGAAGGCAGCUCAGACCUGCUCGUGCAGUUGACAGUGCUGGCUCGCCUUCCCGGCUCUCUUGCUCCGCGAGUAUCCCUCCGUGUGCCUGCAGACAGCUUUUUUUUAAAAAAAAAAAACAAAAAAACAAAAAAAACCGCGACGACGGGGCCUGGCUGGCAGCGUGCUCCGUGCGCGCAGUACGAAACUGUGAUACCGUCUCCUUGCAGAUGAGACAACUAAACGUCUGAAGUGUUUUACAGAGCUGUGACUGGCGGGCGAGACCACCAACAGGCACCGGGGGAAGGCAGCGCUGCCGGACGGGGCAGGAGAACAGUGUUUGCAGUGUUGUCCGAAUCCCGAAUACACGGUUGAGUAAACUAACCCGUGAGUAAAUAAACCCCAAACUGUGGAAAUCUGCACAUGGCUACAGCCCUGCGAUUCCCAUUUCCAUGAUGCUCAGAAUUUAAUGGACUGCUGAAGUUUGACCAAAAGGCAUUUCUUGUGUCAAAAUGAAAAAUUACAGAUCAAAAGGGUGACUUUGCAGACAAACAUAUCGAUCUAAAGCCUGGGUGACACAGACUUCCUGGAAGAGAGCCCAGAAGCAUGUCUGUGUUUAAAGUCAAAUGGCUGUAGCCUUUUACCACUGAUGAAUAAAAAAUGUUUUUGUCUGUGUGCCGAAGGCUCGAGCAGAAACAGAAAUGACUCGAUUUGUUCUGCUGGAGGAGCAGGUUCGUGUUUGUGAAUAAUAAUCCAUUGAAUGCUGCAGUGUUUUUACAAUACUAAGAAAAAAACUGAUAGUCAAGUAGGAAAUAAGAAUUUGGAGAAAGGAUUUUUUUCACCCCCUCGAAAGCUCUGUUUAUGGCAACUUUGGGAAAGGCAAACCGAGUCCCCUUCGUCCGUGUCCGCGGGGCAGAGCGGCUGGCGUCCCCUUCCCUGGAGGUGUGAGGAGGGAGCAGUCGUGACGUUCCUCCAGAGAAUUAUUUCCUUUGCAUUGAGCACCAUACAGCCCCACUAGCUUGGAGAUGAUGGUGACAAAGCCAGGAUUCAGAGUCCAGCCUGAGACAGCAUGUCAGCAGUGGAAAAACCGACCACAAACUCCUUUGCCUUCGAGGUCUGCUGCUGUUGCCUGGCACCUAAAAGACACUGGGCCAAACUUGCCCCUGUGCUGUCGGCGCUGGUUCCUGCAGGGUGAUGCUCACGGUGACUGUGGCCUGCCGUCUCGUCUGUGACAGCCGUACACCCAGCAGCGGCGCUGACUUGGCACAAUCGUCU
rnacentral:lncRNA from 1 species